rnacentral:rRNA from 1 species
CCUACGGGGGGCUGCAGUGGGGAAUAUUGCGCAAUGGGGGAAACCCUGACGCAGCAACGCCGCGUGAAGGAAGAAGGCCUUCGGGUUGUAAACUUCUUUGAUCGGGGACGAAAAUGACGGUACCCGAGGAACAAGCCACGGCUAACUACGUGCCAGCAGCCGCGGUAAUACGUAGGUGGCAAGCGUUGUCCGGAAUUACUGGGCGUAAAGGGCGUGUAGGCGGGAUGGCAAGUCAGAUGUGAAAGCCCGGGGCUUAACUCCGGAACUGCAUCUGAAACUGCUGUUCUUGAGUGCUGGAGAGGAAAGUGGAAUUCCCAGUGUAGCGGUGAAAUGCGUAGAGAUUGGGAGGAACACCAGUGGCGAAGGCGGCUUUCUGGACAGUAACUGACGCUGAGGCGCGAAAGCGUGGGGAGCAAACAGGAUUAGAUACCCUUGUAGUC